AAACUCAGACAAUCUCAGAACUU
rnacentral:siRNA from 1 species